UUGUAUAAAAAAAAUCUAAAAUUGGAGUCCUCCACACAUGCUUGUAAAAUAAAGGAUCAAGGAUAGACCUUGACAAGGUCCAAACCAUAAUGGAGUCCAUGGGGUCAAAGUUAUCUCCUGGAGCUCAGCAGUUGAUGGAUAUGGUUAGGUUUCAGCAGCGGAAUUGUAUUCCCAUUGGAGAGCAGCUUCAGUCGGUGUUGGGCAAUUCUGGAUACAAGCAUAUGAUUGGACUACAAUCCUCAUCUACCUUAGGAAACUUAGACAAGUCAUCCUCCACACCUUUUCCUUUUAGAACUGGAUUGACAUCUGGGAACGUGACUGAAAACUUACAAACUUACAUUGAUAAAAGUACACAACUGCCUGGUGGAGAGAAUUCUACCAAGCUUGAUGAGUGUAAAAUUAUGCCUCAAAACCAUUCCUUUCUUGAAAAUGAUCUUAAAAAUGCAAUGGCCUCUUUCUUACCAAAGAAAGCAAGUGACAACUCAAAUAUACCCAACUCUGAGUUGCUGCCUUUUCUCCAGAAUUUAUGUAGUCAAGUUAAUCAUCUCCAUGUGGGAAAUAAGACCGAGUGUCAGGAAAACAUCACCAAGCAUGGUGAACGCAUUCUUGGUGUUGGAAUGGAAGAGCAACCUAUUUGCUCCUACUUGGAAAAGAUUCUUUCUAAAAAUAUGGAAC
rnacentral:sRNA from 1 species